AGCCAUUAGAUUUUGUUCUUUGGAAAACAAAACUAUGCGAAUUGGUGAAAGGACCAUCUUGUACUAGUUCAAUGAAGAUAACAUUAGCAGACGAUAUCAUGCGUACUGAUGCUUAUUCGAUCAUCAACCCUAUUGUAUUAGUACGAAAUCUUACAUCGUUUCAAAAUAAGUAUCAGGAGAACAUGCAGCAAGAUCUUGAAGAUAGACAACAUGAAGAUAUUAGUAAUACAUGUAAUAUCGCUUUUAACUAUUCAUUUCUUGCCCAAGACCGAGCAGAC
rnacentral:lncRNA from 1 species